GAUGAACGCUGGCGGCGUGCUUAACACAUGCAAGUCGAGGGGCAGCAUGAACUUAGCUUGCUAAGUUUGAUGGCGACCGGCGCACGGGUGAGUAACACGUAUCCAACCUUCCGUUUACUCAGGGAUAGCCUUUCGAAAGAAAGAUUAAUACCUGAUAGUAUGGUGAGAUUGCAUGAUAACACCAUUAAAGAUUUAUUGGUAAACGAUGGGGAUGCGUUCCAUUAGGUAGUAGGCGGGGUAACGGCCCACCUAGCCUGCGAUGGAUAGGGGUUCUGAGAGGAAGGUCCCCCACAUUGGAACUGAGACACGGUCCAAACUCCUACGGGAGGCAGCAGUGAGGAAUAUUGGUCAAUGGGCGCAGGCCUGAACCAGCCAAGUAGCGUGAAGGAUGACUGCCCUAUGGGUUGUAAACUUCUUUUAUAAAGGAAUAAAGUCGGGUAUGUAUACCCGUUUGCAUGUACUUUAUGAAUAAGGAUCGGCUAACUCCGUG
rnacentral:rRNA from 1 species